rnacentral:rRNA from 1 species
CCUACGGGCGGCUGCAGUGGGGAAUAUUGGACAAUGGGGGGAACCCUGAUCCAGCCAUGCCGCGUGUGUGAAGAAGGCCCUCGGGUUGUAAAGCACUUUCAGUGAGGAAGAACGCCUGGUGGUUAAUACCCAUCAGGAAAGACAUCACUCACAGAAGAAGCACCGGCUAACUCCGUGCCAGCAGCCGCGGUAAUACGGAGGGUGCGAGCGUUAAUCGGAAUUACUGGGCGUAAAGCGCGCGUAGGUGGCUUGAUAAGCCGGUUGUGAAAGCCCCGGGCUCAACCUGGGAACGGCAUCCGGAACUGUCAAGCUAGAGUGCUGGAGAGGAAGGUGGAAUUCCCGGUGUAGCGGUGAAAUGCGUAGAGAUCGGGAGGAAUACCAGUGGCGAAGGCGGCCUUCUGGACUGACACUGACACUGAGGUGCGAAAGCGUGGGUAGCAAACAGGAUUAGAUACCCGAGUAGUC